rnacentral:rRNA from 1 species
CAGUCGAACGCAGUAGCAAUACUGAGUGGCAGACGGGUGAGUAACAUGUGGGAAUCUGCCUUGUGGUUCAGGACAACAUUGGGAAACCGAUGCUAAUACUGGAUAAGCCCUUACGGGGAAAGUUUUAAUGCCAUAAGAUGAGCCCGCAUUUGAUUAGUUAGUUGGUGAGGUAAUGGCUCACCAAGACAAUGAUCAAUAGCUGAUCUGAGAGGAUGAUCAGCCACACUGGGACUGAGACACGGCCCAGACUCCUACGGGAGGCAGCAGUGGGGAAUCUUGCACAAUGGAGGAAACUCUGAUGCAGCGAUGCCGCGUGAGUGAAGAAGGCUUUUGGGUUGUGAAGCUCUUUUGUAGGGGAAGAUAAUGACUGUACCCUAAGAAUAAGGUCCGGCUAACUUCGUGCCAGCAGCCGCGGUAAUACGAAGGGACCUAGCGUAGUUCGGAAUUACUGGGCGUAAAGCGCGCGUAGGCCGUUGAGUUAGUUAAUUGUGAAAUCCCAAAGCUUAACUUUGGAACUGCAAUUAAAACUGCUCGACUAGAGUUUGAUAGAGGAAAGCGGAAUACAUAGUGUAGAGGUGAAAUUCGUAGAUAUUAUGUAGAACACCAGUUGCGAAGGCGGCUUUCUGGACCAACACUGACGCUGAGGCGCGAAAGUAUGGGUAGCAAAGAGGAUUAGAUACCCUCGUAGUCCAUACCAUAAACGAUGAUUGCUAGAUGUUGGAAUUUAUUUUCAGUAUCGCAGCUAACGCAUUAAGCAAUCCGCCUGGGGAGUACGACCGCAAGGUUAAAACUCAAAUGAAUUGACGGG